rnacentral:rRNA from 1 species
GUGUGGAAUAUUGGUCAAUGGGCGGGAGCCUGAACCAGCCAAGUCGCGUGAAGGAAGAAGGAUCUAUGGUUCGUAAACUUCUUUUGCAGGGGAAUAAAGUGCAGGACGUGUCCUGUUUUGUAUGUACCCUGAGAAUAAGGAUCGGCUAACUCCGUGCCAGCAGCCGCGGUAAUACGGAGGAUCCGAGCGUUAUCCGGAUUUAUUGGGUUUAAAGGGUGCGUAGGUGGUUUGAUAAGUCAGCGGUGAAAGUUUGCAGCUUAACUGUAAAAAUGCCGUUGAAACUGUCGGACUUGAGUGUAAAUGAGGUAGGCGGAAUGCGUGGUGUAGCGGUGAAAUGCAUAGAUAUCACGCAGAACUCCGAUUGCGAAGGCAGCUUACUAAGCUACAACUGACACUGAAGCACGAAAGCGUGGGGAUCAAACAGGAUUAGAUACCCGUGUAGUCC